AUGAAGCACAUCUCCCUCUCGCCAUCCACCGAACUUGCCGAGACCGCCAUCUCCGUCAUUCCGUUCAGGACACCGAGUUCACCGAGAUCGCCAUCUCCAUCGCGUCGUUCAGUCCACCGAGCUCACAUCGUUCAGUCCACCGAACUCGCCUCGUUAACCAAAAUUUAUUCUCUCCCUCUGAAAAUGAACCAAGCUCAAGCACUAAUUUGA
rnacentral:lncRNA from 1 species